CUGCUGGGAUUACAGGUGUUAGCCACCACGUCUGGCACACAGGGUCAUAUUUAAAUCUCUUUAGUGAAUACUUUCGAUUGUCUACAUGCAACCCUGCGUUAUAAGAACCCCCCGGGCAAAGGCCUGUUAGGGACAUCUUUGGAAACAGGUGGGUCUGACGUCCUCGUCAUCCAAAUGUAGCUUUCCACUGUGGGCUGACCGAGGAAGCUGCCCUCUUACUGAAGAUGAGCUUGAAAAAGAUCAAGGAAAUGAAAAUAAAACAAAAAAAAAAAAAAAACAAAAAAAAACUUGCAAUUACACUCUUCCACCACUAGAUGCUAUACACGUAUAAGCAAGAUAAAAGUCCUCCGCCAUUUCUUUUCCCCAUCAGUGACCUCAGUGAUGAAUGGGAUUCUGUUUUCCUCCUUCUACCCCACUUUCUCCAUCCAGCCAACCAUAGCCUUGCUAUAUCCUGGGGUCUUGGAUAAUGUAGAAGAGUAAAAUCUAAGUCUUGCUUACAGAAUCUGAAGAAACUCUUCUGACUUCAAAGCUCAAUUCUGUGCCAUGGAAAUCAGAUAUACUAUAUCAUAUCUCAACUUAAGUGCAAAGGAGCAAACUCUGGCAAAACUUUAUGUAAAGGAAGAACUUUCUCCUCUUCUCUCCCCAUAUCAUCAUAGCAGCUACAUCCUACAAACACACAGCGGCUGUUAUCAGAAAUCAACUUGUGAAAGUCACCUCUACCCAUAGAUGAGGUUGUGAUGGUUUCAUCCAAAUGAUUUUAUGGCCUGUGAAGCAGUCAUUUGGAUCAAGGUUAACAAAUUCUUGGUAUCAGAGGUGCUACUGAGGACUCCACAUACCGAUACCAAUAAAUAAUGUCCAUACAACGAAGGUGGUGUUGGUUGAUACGGUUUGGAUCUGUGUCCCCACCCAAAUCGCAUGUUGAAUUGUAAUCCCCCAGUAUUGGAGGUGGGGCCUGGUGGGAGGUAACUGGAUCAUGGGGUUGGAUUUCCCUAUUGCUGUUCUCAUGAUAGUGAGUGAGUUGUCAUGAGAUCUGGUUGUUUAAAAGUGUGUAAUACCUCCCACUCACCUUCCUCCUGCUGUGGCCAUGGAAGAUGUGCCUCCUUCACCUUCCACCAUGACUGUGUUUCCUGAGGCCUUCCCAGAAACUGAGCAGAUGCCACCAUGCUUCCUGUACAAUCUACAGAACCUUGAGCCAAUUAAACCUUUUUUUUAUAAAUUA
rnacentral:lncRNA from 1 species